CAUGGAAGAAAUAGAUGAAUGGAAUUGAUGAACUGAUUUAUGCUGCAAAAGACAAAUGUGUCUCAGCUUGUAGGCUUCAUUUGGAUGACCCCGAUGAAGACCACAAGUGGAUGACCUCUCCAGAGACACUGACACACAGGACGUAGUCGCCGGGAUGGCGGAUGGACUCUCGAACCAGGAACAGGCCAUCCUCGGAGGGCUGCAGCUUACACACUGCCUCUGGACCAGAGAUCUUCCCAUGAAACCAGCUGGUGAAAGCCAGCACAAGUUCUCCAGGUUUUAGUUUCCUGUGGUCCCCCUUGGCUACACACUGUGUACCGACAGCCCAG